UACGUAGGGUGCGAGCGUUGUCCGGAAUUAUUGGGCGUAAAGAGCUCGUAGGCGGUCUGUCGCGUCGGUCGUGAAAACUUGGGGCUUAACCCUGAGCUUGCGGUCGAUACGGGCAUGACUGGAGUUCGGUAGGGGAGACUGGAAUUCCUGGUGUAGCGGUGAAAUGCGCAGAUAUCAGGAGGAACACCGGUGGCGAAGGCGGGUUGCUGGGCUGACACUGACGCUGAUGCGCGAAAGCCAGGGGAGCGAACGGG
rnacentral:rRNA from 1 species